rnacentral:rRNA from 1 species
UACGAAGGGGGCUAGCGUUGCUCGGAAUUACUGGGCGUAAAGGGCGCGUAGGCGGCCUGGUAAGUAGGGGGUGAAAUCCUGCGGCUUAACCGCAGGGCUGCCUUCUAAACUGUCAGGCUUGAGCACGGUAGAGGCAGAUGGAAUUCCCGGUGUAGCGGUGGAAUGCGUAGAGAUCGGGAAGAACAUCAGUGGCGAAGGCGGUCUGCUGGGCCGUUGCUGACGCUGAGGCGCGACAGCGUGGGGAGCAAACAGG